rnacentral:ncRNA from 1 species
AGAUCGUGGGGACGCAUUGAUCCGCGACUGGAAACACGGUCACCGGCCGUAGCUCAUACGGAUGGUCGCGGGGAGCGAGUGGUGAGACCGACCCCUUGUCGU